GGAGUCUGGGCCGUGUCUCAGUCCCAAUGUGGCCGGUCGACCUCUCAGUCCGGCUACGCAUCAUCGCCUUGGUGGGCCAUUACCUCACCAACUAGCUAAUGCGCCGCAGGCUCUUCCCAGGGUAGAUUGCUCUUUUAAUAACUAAAGGAUGCCCUUUAAUUAACUAUCCAGUUUUACCUUCCGUUUCCAGAAGCUAUCCUCGUCCUUGGGAUGGAUUACCUACGUGUUACUCACCCGUUCGCCACUAAGUUACCCGAAGAUAACUCCGUUCGACUUGCAUGUAUUAGGCAUGCCGCCAGCGUUUAUC
rnacentral:rRNA from 1 species